AUGAACGCUGGCGGCGCGCCUAAUACAUGCAAGUCGAGCGAGAAGACGUAGCAAUACGUUUGUAAAGCGGCGAACGGGUGAGGAAUACAUGGGUAACCUACCCUCGAGUGGGGAAUAACUAGCCGAAAGGUUAGCUAAUACCGCGUACGCUCCUUGGACUUCGGUUCAGGGAGGAAAGCGAUACCGUGGGUAUCGCGCUCUUGGUUGGGCUCAUGUCCUAUCAGCUUGUUGGGAGGUAACGGCUCACCAAGGCUUCGACGGGUAGCUGGUCUGAGAGGACGAUCAGCCACACUGGCACUGCGACACGGGCCAGACUCCUACGGGAGGCAGCAGUAAGGAAUAUUGACGCAAUGGGCGAAAGCCUGACGCAGCGACGCCGCGU
rnacentral:rRNA from 1 species